GGAUCCUAUUGAGUAGACAGUGUUACUGCCACAGAGGGAAACCAACCCCGACCUUGGAGAAAGCAGGAACUUAAACCCACUUCAGAGAGCACCUUGCUCCUUCCAGAACUGCAAAUGUGUCGGUGAAAACUGACUGAGCUGGCCAGCGAGUGUGCCAGAGAGCUGCACUGGAUUCCGCUUACUAGUGUGAUGAGGCUACCAGGCUUAGCUCCUCCAUCCCAGAGAGGUCUCUUGGAGAUAGCAGUGGUGAACAGAAAUGCUGAUUUUGUGCUAGACUGGCUCCACACACACACAGCUGAGCGCACAGAACCAGGUUCCCCUGUUUAACAGCACUGGACGCACGGGCCAUGAAAACAGGCUGAGAUUUCUGCCAAGUGAAUAUUUAUGUCCAACUUUGAAAGAUGGGGCGUAUAAUGGAAGUGUUGAAAUACUCUCAAGCAAUCCGGAGCUGUUUGAUGACAUACCCUACAAGGUUUGCGGCAAGGACUUGAAGAGGUUUUCUGUUCACCCCAGAGUGGUCAGUACUGGCUCCUGGCAUGUUGGCAUCUCCAGCUGAGUCAACGAAAGCCACCUCUGCCCCACAGGCUGGCAUCACCGCACAGCUGAACCAGGA